AGCAGCCGCGGUAAUUCCAGCUCCAAUAGCGUAUAUUAAAGUUGUUGCAGUUAAAAGCUCGUAGUUGAAUUUCGGGGUUAGUAGGUUGGUCAUGCCUCUGGUAUGUACUGGUCUCACUGAUUCCUCCUUCCUGAUGAACCUUAAUGCCAUUAAUUUGGUGUUUUGGGGAAUUUGGACUGUUACUUUGAAAAAAUUAGAGUGUUUAAAGCAAGCUAACGCUUGAAUACAUUAGCAUGGAAUAAUGAAAUAGGACGUUCGAUCCUAUUUUGUUGGUUUCUAGGAUUGACGUAAUGAUUAAUAGGGAUAGUUGGGGGCAUUAGUAUUCAAUUGUCAGAGGUGAAAUUCUUGGAUUUAUUGAAGACUAACUACUGCGAAAGCAUUUGCCAAGGAUGUUUUCAUUAAUCAAGAACGAAAGUUAGGGAUCGAAGACGAUCAGAUACCGUCGUAGUCUUAACCAUAAACUAUGCCGACUAGGGAUCGGAUGAUGUUAAUUUUUUAAUGUACUCAUUCGGCGCCUUAC
rnacentral:misc_RNA from 1 species